AGGACGAACGCUGGCGGCGUGCUUAACACAUGCAAGUCGAACGGAAAGGUCUCUUCGGAGAUACUCGAGUGGCGAACGGGUGAGUAACACGUGGGUGAUCUGCCCUGCACUUCGGGAUAAGCCUGGGAAACUGGGUCUAAUACCGAAUAUGACCACGGGAUGCAUGUCCUGUGGUGGAAAGCUUUUGCGGUGUGGGAUGGGCCCGCGGCCUAUCAGCUAGUUGGUGGGGUCACGGCCUACCAAGGCUACGACGGGUAGCCGGCCUGAGAGGGUGUCCGGGCCACGACUGGGACUGAGAUACGGCCCAGACUCCUACGGGAGGCAGCAGUGGGGGAAUAUUGCACAAUGGGCGCAAGCCUGAUGCAGCGACGCCGCGUGGGGGAUGACGGCCUUCGGGUUGUAAACCUCUUUCAGCAGGGACGAAGCGAAGUGACGGUACCUGCAGAAGAAGCACCGGCCAACUACGUGCCAGCAGCCGC
rnacentral:rRNA from 1 species